GCGUUGAUAGCUCAGCAGGAUAGAGCAUCAGCUUCCGAAGCUGAAGGUCGUGGGUUCGACUCCCACUCAGCGCA
rnacentral:tRNA from 1 species